GACGAACGCUGGCGGCGUGCUUAACACAUGCAAGUCGAACGGAAAGGCCCUGCUUUUGUGGGGUGCUCGAGUGGCGAACGGGUGAGUAGCACGUGAGUAACCUGCCCUCGACUUUGGGAUAACUUCAGGAAACUGGGGCUAAUACCGGAUAGGAGCUCCUGCUGCAUGGUGGGGGUUGGAAAGUUUCGGCGGUUGGGGAUGGACUCGCGGCUUAUCAGCUUGUUGGUGGGGUAGUGGCUUACCAAGGCUUUGACGGGUAGCCGGCCUGAGAGGGUGACCGGCCACAUUGGGACUGGGAGACGGCCCAGACUCCUACGGGAGGCAGCGGUGGGGAAUAUUGCGCAAUGGGCGGAAGCCUGAUGCAGCGACGCCGCGUGCGGGAUGCCGGCCUUCGGGUUGUAAACCGCUUUCGCCUGUGACGAAGCGUGAGUGACGGUAAUGGGUAAAGAAGCACCGGCUAACUACGUG
rnacentral:rRNA from 1 species